CACCGGUCUCCGCAGCACCAGGAUAAAGACCUUCUUUUUACCCAUAACCUUUCUCUGCAGCAUUGGAACCAAGAUCGGGCUUGGCAUAGUUACGAGGUUCCCGUUCUAUUUAACUAACACUAACUGAAGCUAACCGGAAGCUUUCUUCUCAUGCGACUCUUGGAUCGAAAAGAGGCUGCUGGACUGGACCACGGCUGAAACUGCCAGGCACGGACUAAAAGCUGGGCUCAGGGAUUCCCGAGUCAAACGACUACCAUACAUAGCAUAGAACUGGAAGCAGCACUAGUGUACAGAGAAGACUGGAUGUGAACACGAAACUUUACAGGAAGAAGAAUCGCCCCACUUUCCCUCUUGGAAGGAGCAUAGCCCUGUAACCCCUCUAAAGAGGAAGAGAGUGUAAUGCCUUAAAGAUCUCAUUUUCUUUUUUGAUUACUCUAAACUAAAGAAGCGACGGGCCCUUCUUGAGUGAGGAAGGAACUGAUUUCCGAUUUUCGGGAAUUGAAUCCGGUGCUACUUUUUGGUAUAGAAUUGGACAAGCAACUUCUUUGCCGAAACUACUACUUCAAAGAACUCCCUUUUCUUGCAAUCCCCCUUCUCUCGAGCUUCAGCUUGACCAGCUCCUAUUUGGCCUAUUAGAGUCAGCUCCAUACCUGACGACUCCCCUCCCUCAAAGAAGGACCUCUUCGCCUAAGCUUGACUUGAAAUACCAGGUCUUUGUCCCUAAUCAAUGCAUCCAUUUAGGUCAGAAUUCUCUAUACCAUAACUCCUCUUUUCCCUACUGAGAUAGAUUUCAGGAGUACCCUGGCCGAUGAAGGAGUCUACUUUCUUGCUUACCUACCCGAGUCGGCAACUUCCUUUGAUGAGUCACAUCCCUCCUUUUUGGCCUAUCGAGUUCCGCUAAGACCUCUUUUACUUAUUACGCCUUAACCUACCUGGUACUAGGACUCAUUGUGGAAAUCCCAUAGGCCUAUCCUCCUUGGGCUUAUCCCCUAACUACUUCCACGGAGCCAUAUUCAAGGUGGUUGACCUACUUCCUCGGGUUGGAAUCCUCCGUUUUGGAAUACUUUACCUCAUCCGUCCUGUGACCUAUCCUCAGCCUCAGUCGUAGCCUGAUCCACUCUCUUUUUCCCAGCAAGUGAAUGCGAGUCCAGUUCACCCUCGGCCUCGAAAACCUGUGAAGUACGAGGAAAGAGUAGGGAUCGAGUGUGAGUUCCGAUCCUCUCUUCCCAGGCAAGAAUGAAAUUGGACGGUCUCAGCCCAGAAAGUGAAAAGAACGAGAUCUAGAACCUACAUGCUGAUGCUCACGAUUUCGAUAGUCAUACCGGUGAUUUGGAGGAGAUCUCCCGAAAAGUCUUUAGUGCUCAUUUCGGUCAACUCUCCAUUAUCUUUCUUUGGUUGAGUGGGAUGUACUUCCACGGUGCCCGUUUUUCCAAUUAUGAAGCAUGGCUAAGCGAUCCUACUCACAUUGGACCCAGUGCUCAGGUAGUUUGGCCAAUAGUAGGGCAAGAAAUUUGGAAUGGUGAUGUAGGCGGGGGUUUCCGAGGAAUCCAAAUAACCUCUGGGUUUUUUCAGAUUUGGCGAGCAUCCGGAAUAACUAGUGAAUUACAACUCUAUUGUACCGCAAUCGGUGCAUUGAUUUUUGCAUCGUUAAUGCUUUUUGCUGGUUGGUUCCAUUAUCACAAAGCUGCUCCCAAAUUGGCCUGGUUCCAAGAUGUAGAAUCCAUGUUGAAUCACCACUUAGCGGGGUUAUUAGGACUUGGGUCUCUUUCUUGGGCGGGACACCAAAUCCAUGUAUCUUUACCGAUUAACCAAUUUCUCGACGCUGGGGUUGAUCCUAAAGAGAUACCACUUCCUCAUGAAUUUAUCUUGAAUCGCGACCUUUUGGCUCAACUUUAUCCUAGUUUUGCCGAAGGAGCAACCCCCUUUUUCACCUUGAAUUGGUCCAAAUAUGCAGAAUUUCUUAGUUUUCGCGGAGGACUAGAUCCAAUAACCGGUGGUCUAUGGUUGAGCGAUAUUGCACACCAUCAUUUAGCUAUUGCUAUUCUUUUCCUGAUCGCUGGUCAUAUGUAUAGGACCAACUGGGGUAUUGGUCAUGGACUUAAAGAUAUUUUGGAGGCUCAUAAGGGCCCAUUUACAGGACAAGGCCAUAAGGGUCUCUAUGAAAUCCUAACAACGUCAUGGCAUGCUCAAUUAUCUCUUAACCUAGCUAUGCUAGGCUCUACAACUAUUGUUGUAGCUCAUCAUAUGUACUCUAUGCCCCCCUAUCCAUACCUAGCUACCGACUAUGGUACACAACUUUCCUUGUUCACACACCACAUGUGGAUUGGCGGAUUUCUAAUAGUCGGUGCUGCUGCACAUGCAGCCAUUUUUCUGGUAAGAGACUAUGAUCCAACUACUCGAUACAACGAUCUAUUAGAUCGCGUCCUUAGACACCGCGAUGCAAUCAUAUCCCACCUUAACUGGGUAUGUAUAUUUCUGGGUUUUCACAGUUUUGGCUUGUACAUUCAUAAUGAUACCAUGAGUGCUUUAGGCCGUCCCCAAGAUAUGUUUUCGGAUACCGCCAUACAAUUACAACCCAUCUUUGCUCAAUGGAUACAAAAUAUCCAUGCUGGCGCGCCUGGCGUAACAGCUCCUGGUGCAACAACAAGUACCAGCUUAACGUGGGGAGGCAGCGAGUUAGUAGCUGUAGGCGGCAAAGUGGCUUUGUUACCUAUUCCAUUAGGAACCGCAGAUUUUUUAGUCCAUCACAUUCACGCAUUUACUAUCCAUGUGACUGUAUUAAUACUUUUGAAAGGUGUUUUAUUUGCUCGCAGUUCCCGUCUGAUACCUGAUAAAGCAAAUCUUGGCUUUCGCUUCCCUUGCGACGGGCCUGGGCGAGGGGGAACAUGUCAAGUAUCCGCCUGGGAUCAUGUUUUCUUAGGUCUAUUCUGGAUGUAUAAUUCCAUUUCGGUAGUUAUUUUCCAUUUCAGUUGGAAAAUGCAGUCGGAUGUUUGGGGUACUAUAAGUGAUCAAGGGAUAGUAACUCAUAUCACAGGGGGAAACUUUGCACAGAGUUCCAUUACGAUUAAUGGUUGGCUUCGAGAUUUCUUGUGGGCACAGGCAUCCCAAGUAAUUCAGUCUUAUGGUUCUUCAUUAUCCGCAUAUGGUCUUUUUUUCUUAGGCGCUCAUUUUGUCUGGGCUUUCAGUUUAAUGUUUUUAUUCAGCGGCCGUGGUUAUUGGCAAGAACUCAUUGAAUCUAUCGUUUGGGCUCACAACAAAUUAAAAGUUGCUCCUGCUACUCAGCCUAGAGCCUUGAGCAUUAUACAAGGACGUGCUGUAGGAGUAACCCAUUACCUUCUGGGUGGAAUUGCCACAACAUGGGCAUUCUUCUUAGCGAGAAUUAUUGCAGUAGGAUAGUGGCUAGGAGGAUUUGAAAGGCAUUAUGGAAUUAAGAUUUCCCAGGUUUAGCCAAGGCUUAGCUCAGGACCCCACUACUCGUCGUAUUUGGUUUGGUAUUGCUACCGCACAUGAUUUCGAAAGUCAUGAUGAUAUUACUGAGGAACGUCUUUAUCAGAACAUUUUUGCUUCUCACUUUGGGCAGUUAGCAAUAAUCUUUCUAUGGACGUCUGGAAAUCUGUUUCAUGUAGCUUGGCAAGGAAAUUUUGAAUCAUGGAUACAGGAUCCUUUACACGUAAGACCUAUUGCUCAUGCCAUUUGGGAUCCUCAUUUUGGGCAACCCGCGGUGGAAGCCUUUACUCGAGGAGGUGCUGCCGGUCCAGUGAAUAUUGCUUAUUCUGGGGUUUAUCAGUGGUGGUAUACAAUUGGAUUGCGCACCAAUGAAGAUCUUUAUACUGGAGCUCUUUUUCUAUUAUUUCUUUCUACUGCAGUGCCGGAAUGCAAGCAAUGUUCAGUUACAGGUGAAUACCCUCCGUCUCACCAAAAGCAAGGAAAGUAGGAGUUACUUGAGGCAUAAAAGCAAGAAUGCCAGGAUUUCCCAUGAAUUGCAGAGAAGUGGACUGGGUCUGAUCGUAUGAAAGAAAUUCCUCCUCGAUCAACAUCGUAGGGGACAUCGUUGGUUAAGUGGCGGGGGGAAAAGCUAGUUCUUUCUAAAAGCAAAGGAUCCAUAAAAUGGACCAAUCGAGCAACUACGGCAAUGCUCGAUGCUAUUUCGGGGCCUAUGAGUAAGCGAAAUGAAAGGACAGGUCAAGUACAGGAAUAGGUAAGGUUUUCUGUCGCAUUUCUUUCUAUAGCAUUGCUGAAUUGCUUUAUGCACUUGUCGGCCUACUCAGCGAAUGUAUGGAUUCGGCCGGGAGGUUGGUAAGCCAGUCUAAUGCUGGAAAGGCUGAAUUGGAAUAAGUGGAUAUGGCUUGCUCGCCAGCGAAUUACGUGCAGGAAUGGAAAAAGGACAGCAGGUUAGCCCCGGGCUUAAGUCAUUUGAACGAAGGAAUGUUGAAGGCAGGCGUGUAGCUGGGUGAAAAGGUUUGGCUGUUAGGAAAGUAAGUUCAAGCAGAAAGAAUGGAAAGAAAAACAAUUGGUUUAGAAUAAGUAAUUUAGAAAGUAGUAGUUGACUUUCUUAAGCAAGUAGUGGGGCAAGCAAGAUAAAGUAGUAACGAAUAUAGGAAGAAGGGUUACACAGCUUUCUUUCCUAUUAGUAACCGCUACGCGCCUUGCUACCAAGUGCCAGUAGUGUAGGAGAUCCCUGCAAUAAGAGUAGUGAGCGAAAUCGGUUGCUUGUUGCUAGCGGGAAGGAAGGAAAGGUCAGAUUACCAAAAAAGCCAGCUGCAUGUAUACUCGUAGGAAAGACAAGAUCAGAUAGAACCGAUAGAAAGUAAGAAGGGUAAGCAAUCCUCUGAUUCUAUUUUUAUAGUCGUCCGUCAUUCGAUCGAUAGUGCAAGCCUAAAAGUCAGCUAUUUAAAUAGUCAGGUAUUGAAAUAGCAUAGUAUUAAAAGGGUACCAAACUUCUAUAAUAGUACCGAAGGCCUUUUCUUGUCUCACCGGAUAUGAAAUGCAACCUUCUACUAAUAGUAUGGGGGAUAAUAUAUUUUCCUCUAAUUAGUACCCUAAGGAAACUCUUUUUUUCUGCACGAACGAUAUAGAACUACUAUCUAUGUAUUUGGUUACCUAUGACCUAUUACCAACUUAACUAUGUUGGUCUUUCCCAUUGAAUGUCAGUCUUGAAACAUUGCCUUGUAUAUUCAGAACAGUAAUGAAAUGUCUCUGAAUCUGGUAUCCAAACGUUGUAAGUCGUACCCGGUUAUACGUAUCACCCAACAACACGUUAAGGAUGGUAUCUCUUGAAUAGGCGUAUGAAAGAUUUCUUGCUUCUUUCGAGGAACCGGACACUGGCGCUUGGGUAAGGCGUUCUCGCAGCAAAAUCCUUCGUGAGGUUUAUCUACUGGGCUUGAGUUUGAGGUCUACAUCGUAGGUAGGGUCUUCUAAAAACCACAUGAGCCUCUCACUCUUCUGUCUGAGGAGGGCAAAUAUAGGUAUAGGUAUAAAGCCUGGGCGAGUGUCUUUGUCCAGCGCGAGAAAGCUCGGAAUUGAAUGCGCAAAAUGAAUGCUUUGAAACAGUUGGUACUUUCUGAUCGGAAGAUGCUCUUUGACUUUCGCCUCUAUUGUUCAUACUUAUUUAUGUGCGGCCAGUCGUACUUCUGUUAAAAAUCCUAUCUUUGAUACAAGAUAAGAAACGCUUCGCGCCUCGCAUUUGACGGGCGGAGUUCAAUGGAUGUUAUUUCUCCUGAGCUUAAUCUCGGAAGUGAGUUAGCGAAUAAUAAAUUCUUUCCAUUCUUCCAGAUCAUUCUUUCUUUUCCCACGACUCCGGGUUGGUUUUGCAGUAGAAUGAGCUGCAGACUCCCAGUGUUAUUUCAACCUUAAGUUCCAUCGACUUAAGCGUAAGCGCCCCACCUUUUGAGAGUGCGAGAGAUUUCCGCGGCCUGUAAACACAUGGUUUUUCCAGCCGUGACCCUAAUUUACUUACUGAUUUGAAAACCUACCUCCGGCCACCCAUUGGUUAGGAUCGCCCUUUGGUUGGCGGAAGCGAGAAUCAUCUUUUUCUUUUUUGAAGUUCAAUUUCUAUCAGAGGACAAUAUGAAUAUUAUACCAUGUUCCAUUAAAACACUCAAGGGGUUAUACGAUAUAUCGGGUGUAGAAGUAGGCCAACACUUCUAUUGGCAAAUAGGAGGUUUCCAAAUUCAUGCCCAAGUACUCAUCACUUCUUGGGUCGUAAUUACUAUCUUGCUAGGUUCAGUUAUCAUAGCUGUUCGUAAUCCACAAACCAUCCCGACCGACGGUCAGAAUUUCUUCGAAUAUGUCCUUGAGUCGAGACUUGAGCAAAACGCUUUUCCUUUGCUUUUAUUUAUUGUGUAGGCUAUCGAUUCCUAAACCAAGCCGGUGAGUGUCGCUUUUACACUUCAAUUCAGAAAUUGCCUUGUCACAUAAACUCGUAAGUAGUGUUUCGGUUUGUUUCUUCGGUUCGGCUAUCCGAUGAUGGAUUGCUGCUUUCCGGAAGUUUUUGGCAAUGAAUUUAUCGUAUAAGAACUUGUUUUUUAUUUCGCUGCUCGGCUACAAGUGUCGAUGAAAUCGUGCGCAUAAACUCAACAAUAGUCUAGUUUUGGGUAUAUUAGGUUUCAAAAGAAAGGCAUUUGGAUAGGUUUCUUCAUUUUCAUUUUCCAUUCUUAAAUGUUCCCUGUAGUAUAGUAGGUUCUCCGUUGGUGUGCUCUUUCUGAAUUAGGUUGGUAAUUCUAUUUUAUCCUCUGUUUUUCUUGGUUGGACAAACCCAACCGGCGAUUUCCGACAAGUCUUUCUGCUUAGAGCAAGAAGCAGAACCCAAAUCAAGCUUUCUUUAUUUUCAUUUAUGGAUAACCAAUUCAUUUUAUUAAGUGUAGGCGCCGGAAUCAUUGUUUCGGUUGCCAUUUUUGCCGCUUAUAAAGCGGGGCAAGUUUUUGGUCUUAGAGAACAAAUCCACGCCCACACAUUGGAUAUUGAGAUUAUAAAACUCAAAAUAGAAUCUGCACUAGGGAGGCUUUUGGAAGAAACUAAUGUCCAAUUACCGGAGGGACUCUCACUCCAGGAUAUAAUUAAAAAUAUGGUUUUUCCUGGGGACUCCAUAGAGGAGCAGAUUCUGACAUAUAAUCAAAUAUAUCUUGAGCUGGUCGUUCGUGGCACCGCUAGUGCCCACUUUUUAGAAUUUGUGAAUUAUUUGAAUUAGCAGUUGCCACACUGUAGGCAACUAGCAUUUCGUUUUGGAAGUUCGUGAAAGGAAAGAAUGUUCUUGUUUUUCGUUGGAAAAACCAACGCCGACGUCAAGAUCAGUCUCCUUUCUCUUUUCGGGAGCAGAGCUGAAAAAGAUGUAGUUACCCUAUGAUGAGAUUGAGUUCAACGGAUAUGAAGGAUAGAAAUAUGCUAUUUGCUGCUAUUCCAUCUAUUUGUGCAUCAAGUCCGAAGAAGAUCUCAAUCUAUAAUGAAGAAAUGAUAGUAGCUCGUUGUUUUAUAGGCUUUCUCAUAUUCAGUCGGAAGAGUUUAGGUAAGACUUUCAAAGAAACUCUCGACGGGAGAAUCGAGUCUAUUCAGGAAGAAUUGCAGCAAUUCUUCAAUCCUAACGAAGUCAUUCCGGAGGAAUCCAAUGAACAACAACGAUUACUUAGGAUCAGCUUGCGAAUUUGCAGCACCGUAGUAGAAUCAUUACCAACGGCACGCUGUGCGCCUAAGUGCGAAAAGACAGUGCAAGCUUUGUUAUGCCGAAACCUAAAUGUAAAGUCAGCAACACUUCUAAAUGCCACUUCUUCCCGUCGCAUCCGUCUUCAGGACGAUAUAGUCACAGGUUUUCACUUUUCAGUGAGUGAAAGAUUUGUAUCCGGGUCUACGUUCAAAGCUUCUACCGUAGAACAAAUUCGAGAGGCCUUCGUACCCAUAGACCUAAUUCGAGAAGGCUUGAUAGUCCUAAGAAAGGUGAGGGUGGGGGGUUCUAUUAUGGACGAAUAAGGAAGAGGAAUAGAAUCUCAUUCAUGUGUUCAUGCUAACAGAAGAGCGGAUCCAAUACACAUAAGGCAUCGGUUGUUCUUAACAGCGAUGGCUAUUCAUUUAAGUCUUCGGGUAGCACCACCAGAUCUUCAACAAGGUGGAAAAGAAGGAGCAUGGCAGUAAUUGUCAAGGCUCUUUCCUACGUGGAAGCCUACAUCUUUGCUUGUAGGUCAGACCCAAGGAAGAAAAGAGCAAGAAAGUUUCGUCAACACAUGGCUGGCCACUUGUCUUCUAAACCAUGAGAAAAUUUCUUCGGUAGUCAGUUUAGUCUAUUCUAGGAGAUGUUCCGUACUCAGGCUAGUCAGUGCAGUGCUUUUUCUUUUGACCAAAUGCAAUGUGAUGUAAAGCACUUAAGAUCUUUGUCAAGAAGGUGAUGAAAGAAAUGGGCAGCUUGUCCAGCCAAUGGCUUACCAGCUUUCCGUCUUACCUGUCGAAUGGCAUGUGUCAUAUCUAAUAGCAGAUUGACCGCCACCAAUAUAGCAAGCUACGGGCCAGCAAGCAAUCAAUAGAAAUAUCAGUAUGAAGAGGAUGGAAAAGCUUACUGAAUACUGAAAGGACAACUUGUUAAGUAGCCAGAGAAUAAAGAAGUAGGCAGGAAAGGUGGUAUUAAAAAGAGUAAGUAAGCACUAAAAAAGAAAGUGAGUCAAAGCUACUUAGUCUGAAAGUCUGCUUUCUCUUACGGCUAAUCUAUUUACUAUCUAAUUAACCUUUUCUGGAUUCAUGUCUUCAAGUACCACGUGUAUUCUCUUGAGUGCCCUUUCUCUCAUUCCGUGGACCUACCUUUCCUAGAAAGUACCCCUUUCUCUUCUUUUGCUCUUCGCCUCUUUAGGAUGGUAGUUUUGAAGUUCAGUUGCUUUACCAGACAUUGAUUUCAGUGUAGUUUGACGGCCAGGUAAGGAUGAAAAGAAGUAGUGGCCAGAGCUAGCUUAGAAAUCCCAGGGCUACACACUACUCUUCUUGCUAUAAAGCACAUAUUGAUAAGUAAAAAAGAGAAGAAAUUGGAAAGGAUUUCUCUCUUUCACCCAUCCAUAUCCAAGACUCUACAGUUGAGUCUGAUUGUCUUAGCUCUUCUCAUUCCUAUUUAGAUAUUAAAUAUAUAGUUAUAAGUUCUAUCUACCCCUCUAUCAUCUCUCUCUUCCUUUCCCAUACAUAAUAUUGGGAGUAAUUAGAGGUAGCCGGGAGAACAUGCAUCUGCCUUGAAUACUCGGCUUGCUUUGCCUAUCCUAUUCCCUCUUCCGAAAGAUGGACAGACUGCUUUCAAUGGGAAAGUGCUCCAUCUCUCUCUGGUAAAGAGUAAGAAAAGGGAAGCCCUAGACAGAGAUUUCUUAUACCUGUCAGAAAUCCGUCUUUUCAUUUAGUUAGGACCUUAUACCUUCUAGAGUAAUGGUGUCAAGCAUUCCACUAAGAAAACAUAGUUACGUGCUGCUGGUGAGGCUGCUAGAGUAAAGUCUAGAGCUUAGUCAAUGCGUCCGCAAUAAGCUAUCCUGACUUCAUCUCCUAUAAAUUACUUACAUACGUGGCUCACGAGCCCAUCAAUAAGGACUGACUGAAGGAAGGAACAGACCGUAGCUAAAGCCGAAGAAGAUGCGAAUGCGGAUACGAUACCAGCAGACGCGCCCCUGCCUCCCUCGCAGUCAAAACUCUCCUCUCCUCAGCUAUAGUAAUUGGUCACUUGUCCCUAUCCCUAAAUUUACAUAGACCAUCUCCCCUUCCCCCGUCCCUGUCAACUAGAAAGCUAGUAAGCAACCGAUCGGCAAAACACAACCGGUCUAGCUUGGAUUCAAAAAUGUCAUAAGGGGGAUAGAGUGGUAGAAAUGUUCUUUAAAUGAAGGUGUGCACCGAUAUCUGUACGCACCAUGAAAGAAGCCCCACAAGUGAAUCUUGAUUCUUGAAUUAGAAGAUCAGCUAAGCCUUAUUUGGUCACUUCAGGUACAAGCAUUCAUAGUCAUUAUGGGAAAUUCUUUUCUAAAGGAGAUGUGUAUUAGUUCCUUUUCUAUAUGGAAAAUGCCUUCGUCUUGAAGCUACCAAUGCACACCACGGUGAAAUCAUUGUCAAUUAAUUGUUAUAUUCCCCAUAUCACCCAUAGCCACCCUAAUCUUUUUUUUGCCUCAAACUCUGCUGCCCUAUCACUCCUCGAUAAGUGUACUUACUCAGGUUGUGCACUUGGCUGAGCGAGAUCUUCCCCUUUGGCAUGAGAACCGCCUACCUACGCUAACGUAACUAAUGCAGAUGGCGGAAGUUAGUAGUUCUCCUAUCGUAGUAUUAUACGUAUUUCUCACGUGUAGACCUUAAGACCUUCUCAGUUCUGCAGGAAGGAUAUUUAUAUAUAUACCAUUCCAUAUUAAAGUAAGACGGAUAGGGCAUAUUUGACUAGGAAGCAAGCAAAGCUAGUCCCUCCAUACCAGCUAGCAGUCUUGUUUAGGGAGUCUCCUUCUUUACUGAGUAAGGUUCCCGGGUGCCUAUGCGAUUAUUAAGGCAGGGUGCUACUGUACCAGUAGUAGAGUGGGUUGAAUCAAAUCGUUUGUCUAGAGAGGGUAUAGCGAUAACCAAAGCUGACUGUACUAGAAACUUGAGAUCCUGUAUAGGCAACAGGCCUUAGAAUAGUGUAUUGAACUACAGGACAGGAACAACCUAUAAACAAGCGAAUUCAGCCUUUAGAUAAAGACAAUUGGAAAAGAAGUCGAAUCAAACCUAAGGCCUUUGUGGCAUCGGUACACUCCCCGCUGUUUCAACUACAGUUUCAACGUAGGGGGCCACUACGAGUGAACUCGCUAAAGCUGAAGAUCCACCAUCCAAUUUAGGCAUUGGGCAGAACUCUCUCAAUCAAUUAAGAUAAAGCGAGCUCUUCAAUCAAAAUAUCCCUUCCCUCACCCAACACUCACCGUAGGAAGGGGGUAUUUCAUUCAACAAAUGGAACUGGUGCAAAAGGAAGUCGAUCUUGUCUUACGGAAGACUCCCUGGAUCGCUUGUAGCUAUCCCACUCUCCCUUCCUCAAUGAGGAAGUGAGUGCGUUCUAUUUCAUUAUGGUUCACAUACUUGGCUGCUACCAGGCCUAACUAUCAAUAAGUAUAACUGCCUUCUAGCCCUUCUCUCUUUCUGGAUUGAUUCCUGCUCACAGCCUGAUAGCUUGCUUGGCUCCUUUACCCUUCAUGGUUAGAAUGGGUACCACGCGGUUCUACAGGGAUCCAUUCCAUCAUCCAUCAAUCUCUGGAUCCAGGCUCGCCUUCACUCGGUCAAGGGGUUGCCCUUUACCUCGUUCCGGUGUGAUGAACCCUUUCAUUCCUAGAACAGGGUAUCUCCAAUUUAAGUAACCAGCUUGCCAUCCUUCUCAACCCACAAUUGGAAUUCAUCCCGAUAAUCCUUAGUUAGCUGCCCAGAAGGCGAUCCAAACAAGAGCUGUAUCAGCUCAUGGGGAUGACCCAGAAUCUCUUUCUCUGGUCUGUCGAACCAACCAGCUACCAUGUAAACAACUAUACCAUGACUAGUUGACCCACCCAGUGAGUAACAACUAUCGUAGCGAACCUAAAGCAUUCAAUUCAGCUCUUGGUAAACUUUGACUUUAGUUUGAUAUUACGCAUAACCUUCCAUCCAGUGGCCUUCCACCAGAUCUUUCUACAUCCGUGGUUAUUAGACAGGAUUCUGUGCUUCUACUUUUAGGCUUGCGUUCAUAGACUGAAUUCCACUAUCUUACUUCGCUUAUGGUGGGAGUCUCGCUAUCCUUGGGUAGGAUCUUCUUACCGAGGGUAUGACUACAAGAGCACAGCCAGCUGUAUUCAUGCUCUUCGAAGUACCCCCUUUCUUGUCCACAGCUAGAGAGCUCGUACUCAUUUGCCCAACAGUGGUCGGGUUCACCCAUUCUUUUCACCUACCUAUCUGCUUAACCCUAAUGACACCUUCCUUCAUAUCAGAAUGGAACAGUAAACUAUAUUGUUAGAUGCUAUGUUUCUAGGAUGGAAUUCCCAGUACUCAACAGUCAAAAUACAAAUAGUAUCCAUGGGAUAACCCUGAUCGAUAGAACUUACCGCUAAACAAGUUUUGACAAGAGGAAUGCUUAUUGAAUAAUCAUAAUUAUUGGCUUUAUUUAUUGCUACUAGAAAGGUAGAUACCGGUGGUAAGCGAAGAGGAAAUAGACUCUUGUUAGUAUCUAUUUGAGUAGAGAGGUAUGCCAUUCAAACCAAUUAAAUAAUUGAAAAUGAAGGAGAUACUAGCUAAUGUGUAUGAAGGGCUAGCCUGUAUAGCAUGGUCUAGGGUGAAGAGAGAGAGAAAGAAGAGACGAUAGAAAUGGGUUCUUUUGUUAAAGGAAAGUAUCCCGUUCCUCAGCUCCGCUCCGAUUCGACCUGCUUCCUGGAAAUCCCCAAUGCACCAAUGUACCAUUGGCAGAUCCUUCUUUCUUUGAAAUAGAAUAUAUGAUCGAAACUAAACCGAUAUGACUUUCUCCGGAGCAUCGCAAUCCGAGUUCCUGGUGUACCACCCUUGCUCUCCGAGGCAUAUGACUUUUCCAGCUAAUCCGUUAAUCCUAUGACCGGAGGGCUGCCUUAUCGAUUAUCCCCGUUCGAAGUCGGCUUUGCUUCUGCUUGUUUUAGCUUAUACCCCUGAUCCGUAUAUCUGCCUUGGCCCCGCUUUGCAUUCAUAAAUGUCACUAUUCGUCGAGUGCUUCCUUACCUGUUUAUCACCAGCUCCCAUUGCCAACUCUAAAUUACAUGAAUUUCACUAGUCCGCCAAUCCAAUUAGGAUUCCCGUCGGUUGCAUCGCUCCUGCUCGCAGUAGUCGUUUCUUUGCCGGUGAAUAAAUUUCUUCUAAACAGAAUAAGGCCGGCAUCCUGCUCACGACUAUCCCUACCUUGGUAAAGUUACUACUCAAAGGAUGGCUUAUGGUCUACUUUGAUUCAGAUUCUGUAGGCCGUUCCACUUGGGCUUCCUGCUUGACCUGAACCGAAGCAAGGCCUUCUUUUAUUUAAUGAUUGGCUCUCAUAGCGCUUAGUGUAGUAAGGGCCAUCUGCUUUUGCUAUCAUUCUAAGCCUUCGAGCCUACACUUGCUUUACGCGAGCAAUGAGGAUGCGCGUUACGUUACUAAGGCUUUGGGCUUGAGCUCUUGGAGUUGCUUGUUUGCUUGUUGGGAGUCUGCUGCCCCCCUGUCUUUGUUAGCGAUCGAACCAUCUCCGCUAGGAUCCGGAUCUGUCUUAUUGACAGGCUUUGGUCGAGCAACCGAAACAUUUCUGGAACGGCUACUGCCUACAUAACUAGUUUGCCUCUUUUCAAGGAAGGUUUGCCUCGAAGAGCGGAUAUCGAGGAAGAACAAGCUAGGUAAAGAGGGGCUUAUUGGAUUAUUAUUGAAUAGAAAGAGAACCAAGAAAGCGAAGAACAGAGAAAAAAGACAAGCUACCCCACCACGUGAGUGGAAACAUAGGGAUUGAGGGCUAAAGAAAGAAAAGAGAUGGAUUCUUCGGGUUACGGCGUAGGCUUGAGAGUCAGUGAAUGAAAACAGGGGACUCUUGGUAUGGAUAGCCUUUCCUAUGCUAGUUUGACGGAAUUGAUUCUCUCAAGAGUCUUCCUUCUUAUUAGGGAUAGACUAAAGUGAGCAUAGGCUUUGUCAGUCAACAUAGUCCCACAGAUCGUCCAGAGUGCCUACUUCCGGUUUAUAACCUGCUUCCUUUAUCUCGAAAGGUCGCUUUCAUUGAUUGAAUUCUUCCUAUUAUAGGGAAUUCCUACCAAGCCCUAACCCUUGGCCCUUGCUAACCGAGGGAUAUUCCUAACUGGCACCCAAUCCGAGUUUCUUUCUCCUAGCUAUCCGAGAAGUAAUAAGACCUGGCCCAGCUUCCUAGGCUUGCUUUCUUCUUUUAUCGGAUCGGCAAAGGAAACAGCUUGAUCGCUCGAUUGCUCGGUUACUUCCUCGAAGUGCUAGCUUCUUAUCUUUCAAGGAACUACUAGCUUGAAUCUCUGAGCUGUGGCCCAUGAAGCCUAUGAAAGUAGAACAACCACUCCGGUUCUUCUCAGCUCUUCUUUCCAGUCCCUAGUAAUUCGAUUACUGGAAUACCGUCAAUUGCAUUUAGAAGGCACUGCCACUCUUGUUCUGGUAAGAAUGCUUCUAUUGGAGCUCUAAAACCAAGAUUAGUCUGAACCCUGCUUCCAAAAUGCUCUGAUGGGACAGAUACACUCGAGAAAGAGUAUUACAGCUUCUGCCGAUACCGAUCCGCAAUUCGAAGUUCACGACCAAGAGCUUAUGCUGAUUUCUCUUCCGCUUGCUCGCUUAGGAGCUUCUUCAGCUUGCUUCUUAUCCAACGGCGAGGGACGCUCUCUUCUUUCCUUAAGGGCAUAAGUCACUCUCUGAUUGGCGGGAGUUGGUAACGAAACAUCGGUGAGAACAAAGACAUGCUUCCAAUGCUUGAUUCCAAGUUCACAGACAUUAUUAUUUAGUACUUAUUUGAUGAUGAGUUACAUGUUUAUCGGUACGCAAGGAAUAUAAUAAUGAAUAAGAAAGAUAUGCAAUAUGGUUAUUUUAGUUUCCUUUUAGUGUGAUGCGAGGGGCUAUGACUAAUGCAUUAUCCUCUGGCCAGCUCUUGAACAUGCCUGACAUCCGGUGCUAGGGAUAGCUUUAAGAAUCUAGGAGGAGGCUUUUAUGAAUAUAGGAUGCUACUGUGACUAUGAGCUAUAGAGGGAGGACAUACUAUCUACCUACGAAAAUAAUCCUUUAUCGAGGAGCGCUCAAGGUCUUUAUUAUCUUCUAGAAAGAAUGAUUCUAGUUAUGCUUUGUUGACGGUUUGAAUGAGCAAAACGAAAGCGAGAGUUCAGUAAGGAGUAGUUUACAUGUCAAGGUAAGGGAAACUGUCAUUGUUGAAUCUGUAGAGGCAUUGUUGAAUCUCCGGGUGGCAAAACUACUACUGCAUCCCCAUUUCAGGAAUCUGGUUCUCCUAAAACCUUACCUCAGCUACUAAUACUCUUAAACCGGCUUUCACUUCUUAUAACCGACUUGCAGUCUGCCCUGCUAACUACAAAUCCUAUUAUCUCACUUACUUGAGCUAGGGAAACUACUACUACAGCCUAAUACCAGGAAGGGAUACGAGAAUUGUAACCACUACUUUAAGACAAGACCUCUUUCUUACUUUCAUGCUUCUAGCUAAUACUCUGUAAACGAAAGCUACAAUCACUACUACUCUUGAUACGAAAAGGCAAUCUUCCAUUCGGCUAGCUAACAACGAGCCUUGUGGCUGGGAUUCAAACUCCGUAAACGACUAAGCAAUUGAGUAGACUUACUUGCAUUCACGAAAAAACCACUUUAUUUCCACUUUUAUAUGGUAGUUGCACUGCUAAAGCUUCAUAAACAACAUAUCGCAUUUAAACUCUUAUUACCUACUUUCAAACUGAUAGCUAGCUUGUAUUGUUAUAAGCGACUUACUACUACGGAGACGACUAAGCAAUGCCAUGACUAAUAGAUACGAAAAGCAAUGCCAUGACUCGAAUUAUGCUAGCAGCUUACUUAGAAUAAGACUUGUGAGCUUUAAGCCUUACCUGAGCUACUAAAAGACUAUAAACUACAUGCUAUAACUAGUGCUCGCUGACUUGUAUUCUUGCUUGAGCCUCAUAAGCGACACUAAAUAUCACGGGUAAAACACAAGAUACGAAAUCACCACUUCAAUGAGCUAGCUUGGGUAUGAGCACUUCACUUGCGGCUUUUAACCUUCUAACAGGCUUGGUAAAACAAGGUAAACGACUGCUCCAUACUAUAGCUAAUAGCAUUGAAACGAUAAAGCUGUAUCACGGCUAGAAUCCAGAUUUCCAGGAAUAUACGAGAACUUCAAAGCAAAGGCAGAAUUACACUCUAUAAAUGGCUACCACAAUUCUAUCUGAAAACUCAAAUUCUGAGAUCGGCAGAUCAAACUAAUAGCUGACUUGAAUCCUUAGAGCUGGUCUAGCUGACUGUCAAUCUGAUAGUUGGCUCACAACCUUAUAUCACGGCUUCGAAUCUGGUAUCGUCAAAGCAAGAAUCCUAAUACCCAACUGAAAAUCGAAUUUAUGUCUUUGAAUCUUAUACCGUACUCGCAAACUGGUAGCUUCCUUGCAACCUUAGAUCGUACUUUGAGUCUGCAGACAGAAGUAAAAAGCCAAUACGGAAACUCCAAGCUGACUUGAAACUACGAGCUUAAUCUGGUAUUCCUAACUCCCGCUUUAUAACUGAUAUCGGAUAAGAGGAAUGACAAACCAUAAUUAAAGUACCGAUACGAGAAGCCAAUCUGCAAUUCGAUACGAAAAGCUUGAACUCUUCUUUGCAUUCUAUAAAUCACUUACUCAAACUCCUGAUACUACCGUACCGAGCUUGCUUUUAAUCUGAGAUCAACUAAUCAAACUGCUAACCAAGCCUAAUACUCUGACUGAAUCACGACUUGCUAUUUUGAGUUGUUACUUGAAAUCUGAUAGGAAAUAAGCAGAAUGAAAAAGGUGGGUACGAUAACUGCUUGCUGAAACUACUGAUACGAGACCCAAUAUCACGGCUUUCUGACUUAUAGCCUGGGGUUAAAGUCUCGAAACCAGCUUACAGCUUUCCAUUCUUACUCCUUGUCUCUUAUUUUCAUAUCAUACUUUGAGUCUUCUAGCUGGCCAGCCUCAAACACAAGACACAGUCACGUAAUACAAGAGAUACCACAAGCAAGUAGGAAACUACAGCUCAGCUUUCAGCUUUCCAUUCUGCCUUCUUACCUGCUAAUAUGGGAGAAACUACUUGCUCCCUUGAAACCCGAUAUCGCGUAACCGCGCUUGCUACUUUGAUAUCUUAUAUCUAUCUGUCAAUCUUCUUUGUUACUUCCUUACUUGUUAAACGGAGUGCAACGACAUAUCAGUUCUAUUCUUUCAAUCAGAUAAGCAAACCUACAACUAGAGCUACGAAAGCUGAUAAGUAUAAGAGAGAAUGAACAGCAACAAUUAAUACUGUGGAAACGGCUAGGCAAGCACCAAACCUAAUAAGUAGAAUUCAAUCUUCUAGUUGAGCUGCUAAAAGGCAAUAUAAAACAUCGGCUACUGAAACUACUUACGCAUCCGAAUACUACGAUAAAGCAAUUGCUACUUGAAACUACUCACUCGAGUUACAAUCUUCCUGUCACUACUUAAACUCUCGAUACGCCUCGUGGCUUUGUUGCUUUGUCAAACCCUAUAAACUACUUAUGCUUUGUCAAACUACUCGUCUGCUCACCAAGCAGAUUUCGAACUUUUAACUUGCUAUCUUACAAUCUGACUUGGCUACUAAAAGGAGAGAAACGACAGGCUUACUUGUUACUUGGCUUCUUAUAUCCCACCACCUACUAUAUGAUAAGCAAUCCGAUAAGUUCAAGCGAGAAUGAGAGACAACAAUGAAACUCUCGAGCAAUUCACUAGCCUAAUACUCUUGAUAGGACAGCUAGAAUCACGGCUUUUCAUCUUACGUAUGGAACUUCAAUUCUAUCUGGCGCACUUCUAACCUGAUAUCCCGUGGUACUGCGUAAGAAGAAUUAACAGCAUCAAUCAAACUCCUAGCU
rnacentral:lncRNA from 1 species